UACGUAGGGUGCGAGCGUUGUCUGGAAUUACUGGGCGUAAAGAGCUCGUAGGUGGUUUGUCGCGUUGUCCGUGAAAACUCACAACUCAAUUGUGGGCGUGCGGGCGAUACGGGCAGACUGGAGUACUGCAGGGGAGACUGGAAUUCCUGGUGUAGCGGUGGAAUGCGCAGAUAUCAGGAGGAACACCGGUGGCGAAGGCGGGUCUCUGGGCAGUAACUGACGCUGGAGGAAGCGAAAGCGUGGGGAGCGAACAGG
rnacentral:rRNA from 1 species